rnacentral:rRNA from 1 species
GAUGAACGCUGGCGGCGUGCCUAAUACAUGCAAGUCGAGCGAACGGACGAGAAGCUUGCUUUUCUGAUGUUAGCGGCGGACGGGUGAGUAACACGUGGAUAACCUACCUAUAAGACUGGGAUAACUUCGGGAAACCGGAGCUAAUACCGGAUAAUAUUUUGAACCGCAUGGUUCAAAAGUGAAAGACGGUCUUGCUGUCACUUAUAGAUGGAUCCGCGCUGCAUUAGCUAGUUGGUAAGGUAACGGCUUACCAAGGCAACGAUGCAUAGCCGACCUGAGAGGGUGAUCGGCCACACUGGAACUGAGACACGGUCCAGACUCCUACGGGAGGCAGCAGUAGGGAAUCUUCCGCAAUGGGCGAAAGCCUGACGGAGCAACGCCGCGUGAGUGAUGAAGGUCUUCGGAUCGUAAAACUCUGUUAUUAGGGAAGAACAUAUGUGUAAGUAACUGUGCACAUCUUGACAGUACCUAAUCAGAAAACCACGGCUAACUACGUG